rnacentral:rRNA from 1 species
UAGUCCACGCCCUAAACGAUGCACGCUAGGCAUCCGAAGUAUCGACCCUUCGGGAGCCGUAAGCUAACGCGUUAAGCGUGCCGCCUGGGAAGUACGAUCGCAAGAUUAAAACUCAAAGGAAUAGACGGGGACUCGCACAAGCGGUGGAGCAUGUGGUUCAAUUCGAUGCUAAACGAAGAACCUUACCAGGGCUUGAAAUGCCGGCGGAAGUUUCGCCGAAAGGCGGGCGUCUCACAAGGACCACCGGCACAGGUGAUGCAUGGCUGUCGUCAGUUCGUGGCUUGAGUUGUUCCCUUAAGUGGGGUAACGAACGCAACCCUUAUCUCGCGUUACAAGUGUCGCGAGAGACUGCCUCGGUAUACGGGGAGGAAGGCGAGGAUGACGCCAAGUCCGCAUGUCCCUCUGAUGCCCUGGGCUACACACGUGCUACAAUGCCCGCCACAAUGGGUCGCGAAGCCGCGAGGCAGAGCUAACCCCAUCAAAAGCGGGCCCAGUUCGGAUUGGAGUCUGCAACCCGACUCCAUGAAGUUGGAAUCGCUAGUAAUCGCAGGUCAGCUAUACUGCGGUGAAUACGUUCUCGAGUCUUGUACUCACCGCCCGUCAAUGCAGGGAAGCCGGGAGUACCCGAAUCCCGCUUAUAGCGGGAGAAGGUAAGCUCGGUGACAAAGCAUAAGUCGUAACAAGGCACGGCUAGCGGAAGCUG